UUGAUAGCAUGAAACUGAAAGGAUAUGAUACUUCUUGAACACAUGACCAAUACCAAAAAUUCAUAAUACAUCAAUUUGGGGAUUUCAUGAAGCACAUGGUUAUCAUAGUGUUGUACAUGGAUGGAAUUGCAUAUAAACAUAUCAUACUUUUAUCAACCUAUUCUCAUGGACAUUUCCUCAACCAUUCAUAAUGAACACAAUAUCAUGAAAGUCAUUCUUGGUCAUAGGGUA
rnacentral:lncRNA from 1 species